CUACGUGCCAGCAGCCGCGGUAAUACGUAGGGUGCGAGCGUUAAUCGGAAUUACUGGGCGUAAAGCGAGCGCAGACGGUUACUUAAGCAGGAUGUGAAAUCCCCGGGCUCAACCUGGGAACUGCGUUCUGAACUGGGUGACUAGAGUGUGUCAGAGGGAGGUAGAAUUCCACGUGUAGCAGUGAAAUGCGUAGAGAUGUGGAGGAAUACCGAUGGCGAAGGCAGCCUCCUGGGAUAACACUGACGUUCAUGCUCGAAAGCGUGGGUAGCAAACAGGAUUAGAUACCCUGGUAGUCCACGCCCUAAACGAUGUCAAUUAGCUGUUGGGCAACUUGAUUGCUUAGUAGCGUAGCUAACGC
rnacentral:rRNA from 1 species